rnacentral:rRNA from 1 species
GACGAACGCUGGCGGCGUGCUUAACACAUGCAAGUCGAACGGAAAGGCCCUUCGGGGUACUCGAGUGGCGAACGGGUAAGUAACACGUGGGUGAUCUGCCCUGCACUUUGGGAUAAGCCUGGGAAACUGGGUCUAAUACCGAAUAGGACCGCGCUCUUCAUGGGGUGUGGUGGAAAGCUUUUGCGGUGUGGGAUGGGCCCGCGGCCUAUCAGCUUGUUGGUGGGGUAAUGGCCUACCAAGGCGACGACGGGUAGCCGGCCUGAGAGGGUGACCGGCCACACUGGGACUGAGAUACGGCCCAGACUCCUACGGGAGGCAGCAGUGGGGAAUAUUGCACAAUGGGCGCAAGCCUGAUGCAGCGACGCCGCGUGAGGGAUGACGGCCUUCGGGUUGUAAACCUCUUUCAGUACCGACGAAGCGCAAGUGACGGUAGGUACAGAAGAAGGGACCGGCCCACUACGUGCCAGCAGCCGCGGUAAUACGUAGGGUCCGAAGCGUGUCCGGAAAUACUGGGCGUAAAGAGCUCGUAGGUGGUUUGUCGCGUUGUUCGUGAAAACUCACAGCUUAACUGUGGGCGUGCGGGCGAUACGGGCAGACUAGAGUACUGCAGGGGAGACUGGAAUUCCUGGUGUAGCGGUGGAAUGCGCAGAUAUCAGGAGGAACACCGGUGGCGAAGGCGGGUCUCUGGGCAGUAACUGACGCUGAGGAGCGAAAGCGUGGGGAGCGAACAGGAUUAGGUACCCUGGUAGUCCACGCCGUAAACGGUGGGUACUAGGUGUGGGUUUCCUUCCUUGGGAUCCGUGCCGUAGCUAACGCAUUAAGUACCCCGCCUGGGGAGUACGGCCGCAAGGCUAAAACUCAAAGGAAUUGACGGGGGCCCGCACAAGCGGCGGAGCAUGUGGAUUAAUUCGAUGCAACGCGAAGAACCUUACCUGGGUUUGACAUGCACAGGACGUGCCUAGAGAUAGGUAUUCCCUUGUGGCCUGUGUGCAGGUGGUGCAUGGCUGUCGUCAGCUCGUGUCGUGAGAUGUUGGGUUAAGUCCCGCAACGAGCGCAACCCUUGUCUCAUGUUGCCAGCACGUUAUGGUGGGGACUCGUGAGAGACUGCCGGGGUCAACUCGGAGGAAGGUGGGGAUGACGUCAAGUCAUCAUGCCCCUUAUGUCCAGGGCUUCACACAUGCUACAAUGGCCGGUACAAAGGGCUGCGAUGCCGUAAGGUGGAGCGAAUCCUUUCAAAGCCGGUCUCAGUUCGGAUCGGGGUCUGCAACUCGACCCCGUGAAGUCGGAGUCGCUAGUAAUCGCAGAUCAGCAACGCUGCGGUGAAUACGUUCCCGGGCCU